GCCGGGGUGGCGGAACCGGUCAGACGCGCCCGACUUAAAAUCGGGUGGCCUUCGGGCCAUGAGGGUUCGACUCCCUCCCCCGGCA
rnacentral:tRNA from 1 species